rnacentral:rRNA from 1 species
AUUGAACGCUGGCGGCAGGCUUAACACAUGCAAGUCGAGCGGGGGAAGGUAGCUUGCUACCGGACCUAGCGGCGGACGGGUGAGUAAUGCUUAGGAAUCUGCCUAUUAGUGGGGGACAACAUCUCGAAAGGGAUGCUAAUACCGCAUACGUCCUACGGGAGAAAGCAGGGGAUCUUCGGACCUUGCGCUAAUAGAUGAGCCUAAGUCGGAUUAGCUAGUUGGUGGGGUAAGGCCUACCAAGGCGACGAUCUGUAGCGGGUCUGAGAGGAUGAUCCGCCACACUGGGACUGAGACACGGCCCAGACUCCUACGGGAGGCAGCAGUGGGGAAUAUUGGACAAUGGGGGGAACCCUGAUCCAGCCAUGCCGCGUGUGUGAAGAAGGCCUUAUGGUUGUAAAGCACUUUAAGCGAGGAGGAGGCUACUCUAGUUAAUACCAAGGGAUAGUGGACGUUACUCGCAGAAUAAGCACCGGCUAACUCUGUGCCAGCAGCCGCAGUAA